GAUGAAGAACGCAGCGAAAUGCGAUACUUGGUGUGAAUUGCAGAAUCCCGUGAACCAUCGAGUCUUUGAACGCAAGUUGCGCCUCAAGCCAUUAGGUUGAGGGCACGUCUGCCUGGGCGUCACAUAUCGUUGCCUGAUGCCAGUUUCCUCGUGAUGGGUGACUGUGUAGGGCGAAUGAUGGCUUCCCGUGAGCAUUGUUGCCUCAUGGUUGGUUGAAAAUUGAGUCCUUGGUAGGGAGCGCCGUGAUAGAUGGUGGUUGAGUGACGAACGAGACCCAAUCAUGUGAGACCCCUACCGAAUUUGGCCUUCAUGACCCACAUGCGUCUUUGGAACGCUCAUGACGAGACCUCAGGUCAGGCGGGGCUACCCGCUGAGUUUAAGCAUAUCAAUAAGCGGAGGA
rnacentral:misc_RNA from 1 species